GGAGUUCCUGUGCUGCGAGCAUCACCCGGGCCUUGUUGGACAUGCAGAGUUUGGGGCCCCACGACAGACCUACUGACUUAGAUUUUAUGUUUUAAUGUGCCGCACUAUGAUUCACGUCCACAUUCAAGUUUAAGAAGCACUGACAGGGUGGAGUUACCCAAGGUGAAAGCAGUCCCUACAAAUCCGGUGGGAACCAGAUUGGGGAACCCGGAAUCUGGUGGGAACCAGGCUAGCCGCCCAACCGCAUUUAAAAUGUAAAGUUCAAGAGAUGCUUCAGGGUAAGGAAAUAGCGUCCUUGAUAUGGUAUCUUUGACUUCGAACUUGGUUUCAUAUUUGUUU
rnacentral:lncRNA from 1 species